rnacentral:rRNA from 1 species
CACUAUCGUUAACUGAAUACAUAGGUUAACGAGGCGAACCGGGGGAACUGAAACAUCUAAGUACCCCGAGGAAAAGAAAUCAACCGAGAUUCCCCCAGUAGCGGCGAGCGAACGGGGAGCAGCCCAGAGUCUGAAUCAGCUUGUGUGUUAGUGGAACGGUCUGGAAAGUCCGACGGUACAGGGUGAUAGUCCCGUACACCAAAAUGCACAGGCUGUGAACUCGAAGAGUAGGGCGGGACACGUGGUAUCCUGUCUGAAUAUGGGGGGACCAUCCUCCAAGGCUAAAUACUCCUGACUGACCGAUAGUGAACCAGUACCGUGAGGGAAAGGCGAAAAGAACCCCGGCGAGGGGAGUGAAAAAGAACCUGAAACCGUGUACGUACAAGCAGUGGGAGCACCUUCGGGUGUGACUGCGUACCUUUUGUAUAAUGGGUCAGCGACUUAUAUUCUGUAGCAAGGUUAACCGUAUAGGGGAGCCGCAGGGAAACCGAGUCUUAACUGGGCGUUAAGUUGCAGGGUAUAGACCCGAAACCCGGUGAUCUAGCCAUGGGCAGGUUGAAGGUUGGGUAACACUAACUGGAGGACCGAACCGACUAAUGUUGAAAAAUUAGCGGAUGACUUGUGGCUGGGGGUGAAAGGCCAAUCAAACCGGGAGAUAGCUGGUUCUCCCCGAAAGCUAUUUAGGUAGCGCCUCGUGAACUCAUCUUCGGGGGUAGAGCACUGUUUCGGCUAGGGGGUCAUCCCGACUUACCAACCCGAUGCAAACUACGAAUACCGAAGAAUGUUAUCACGGGAGACACACGGCGGGUGCUAACGUCCGUCGUGAAGAGGGAAACAACCCAGACCGCCAGCUAAGGUCCCAAAGUCAUGGUUAAGUGGGAAACGAUGUGGGAAGGCACAGACAGCCAGGAUGUUGGCUUAGAAGCAGCCAUCAUUUAAAGAAAGCGUAAUAGCUCACUGGUCGAGUCGGCCUGCGCGGAAGAUGUAACGGGGCUAAACCAUGCACCGAAGCUGCGGCAGCGACACUAUGUGUUGUUGGGUAGGGGAGCGUUCUGUAAGCCUGCGAAGGUGACCUGUGAGGGUUGCUGGAGGUAUCAGAAGUGCGAAUGCUGACAUAAGUAACGAUAAAGCGGGUGAAAAGCCCGCUCGCCGGAAGACCAAGGGUUCCUGUCCAACGUUAAUCGGGGCAGGGUGAGUCGACCCCUAAGGCGAGGCCGAAAGGCGUAGUCGAUGGGAAACAGGUUAAUAUUCCUGUACUUGGUGUUACUGCGAAGGGGGGACGGAGAAGGCUAUGUUAGCCGGGCGACGGUUGUCCCGGUUUAAGCAUGUAGGCUGAUUGUCCAGGCAAAUCCGGAUAAUCAAGGCUGAGGUGUGAUGACGAGGCACUACGGUGCUGAAGUAACAAAUGCCCUGCUUCCAGGAAAAGCCUCUAAGCAUCAGGUAACAUUAAAUCGUACCCCAAACCGACACAGGUGGUCAGGUAGAGAAUACCAAGGCGCUUGAGAGAACUCGGGUGAAGGAACUAGGCAAAAUGGUGCCGUAACUUCGGGAGAAGGCACGCUGGUGUGUAGGUGAAGUCCCUGCGGAUGGAGCUGAGACCAGUCGAAGAUACCAGCUGGCUGCAACUGUUUAUUAAAAACACAGCACUGUGCAAACACGAAAGUGGACGUAUACGGUGUGACGCCUGCCCGGUGCCGGAAGGUUAAUUGAUGGGGUUAUCCGUAAGGAGAAGCUCUUGAUCGAAGCCCCGGUAAACGGCGGCCGUAACUAUAACGGUCCUAAGGUAGCGAAAUUCCUUGUCGGGUAAGUUCCGACCUGCACGAAUGGCGUAAUGAUGGCCAGGCUGUCUCCACCCGAGACUCAGUGAAAUUGAACUCGCUGUGAAGAUGCAGUGUACCCGCGGCAAGACGGAAAGACCCCGUGAACCUUUACUAUAGCUUGACACUGAACAUUGAGCCUUGAUGUGUAGGAUAGGUGGGAGGCUUUGAAGCGUGGACGCCAGUCUGCGUGGAGCCAACCUUGAAAUACCACCCUUUAAUGUUUGAUGUUCUAACGUUGGCCCCUUACCGGGGUUGCGGACAGUGUCUGGUGGGUAGUUUGACUGGGGCGGUCUCCUCCCAAAGCGUAACGGAGGAGCACGAAGGUUAGCUAAUCCUGGUCGGACAUCAGGAGGUUAGUGCAAUGGCAUAAGCUAGCUUGACUGCGAGCGUGACGGCGCGAGCAGGUGCGAAAGCAGGUCAUAGUGAUCCGGUGGUUCUGAAUGGAAGGGCCAUCGCUCAACGGAUAAAAGGUACUCCGGGGAUAACAGGCUGAUACCGCCCAAGAGUUCAUAUCGACGGCGGUGUUUGGCACCUCGAUGUCGGCUCAUCACAUCCUGGGGCUGAAGUAGGUCCCAAGGGUAUGGCUGUUCGCCAUUUAAAGUGGUACGCGAGCUGGGUUUAGAACGUCGUGAGACAGUUCGGUCCCUAUCUGCCGUGGGCGCUGGAGAAUUGAGGGGGGCUGCUCCUAGUACGAGAGGACCGGAGUGGACGCAUCACUGGUGUUCGGGUUGUCAUGCCAAUGGCACUGCCCGGUAGCUAAAUGCGGAAGAGAUAAGUGCUGAAAGCAUCUAAGCACGAAACUUGCCCCGAGAUGAGUUCUCCCUGAGACUUUAAGUCUCCUGAAGGAACGUU